UGGAACUCAUAUGUACUUGAAUUCUACCCAACAAAAGGAAGGAAAAAUAAAUUAAUGAAACAAAAGAAAUGUACAACAUUAUAUCCACGGAGGGACACCUGAAUUCUAAGCAGCAGAGACUUUCAACGAAAUACAAGCCUCACGGUUUUCUGACAAGAAAUCAAGUGAGAACGCAACUGGAACUGCGUUCCAAAAGAAUGGGAAUCGAAAAUACGAGAGAUGUAUAAACCCACUUGUGUGCUCAAUAUACUGACAAACAGCAUUAACAAAAUCACGCGGCAGAUCAUCCACCUUGCAUGUUCUCGUCGCAUAAAUUAGUCAGCGAUUUACUGGGAACAACAGAUGUUGGUGACCACUGAUCAGGGACCAUCAGGAAAUAGGUCGUCAUGGCCUUUCGGAACCUCUUUUUGUACUGUUUAGGUGAGAUUAUAGUCGGCGACGCAUUUUUGGGUCCACCAAGGAUCCCAGAGGCCUUGACCCAAGUCUCCAAGUGCUUAUCCCACGUAUACUGUCUCAUGAAGUCAAUAAUCCCAACAACAAGCUCAUUCUUCUCUUCAUCAACCCCAACCAACAGUGAGUAAUCCAUCACAUCAACUGCAGCAAGAAAAGCAGUAUCAUUCCAUACAGCUCGCUCCAAAAGUCUUUUUGCUUUGUUUCCAACAAAAAUAGGUGAAGUUGGCAUUGAUUCAAUCAAGUUCUGAUCCAGCAAGACUUUGUUGCUUCCACUGGAAUCAGGAUUGUAACGAGACCUUGCAGAACCUUUCAGAUCAUAAAGCCUUGCCAGUUUCCUCCCAAAGAGAAGGUUCUCCAUAACUAACACAUCCAUUUUAGAUUCCUUACCUCCUUUAAGCUGCUUUGAUGACACCUGAUAGAUCCCCAGAAUUUUUGCCAAACAAGUUGGACUCCCCGUGAUUAUUGAUUCAGAAAGAUAUUUGAAAUAUUCAGGAGCGAAUUUCAUAAAGGACUCCAGCUCUGUCUUUGUCACUUGCUUGAUAAUGAAUCGAUCAUCCAAGGUUUUAGCAAAGAAAACGUUGCUCUUGCCUCCUUGGGCCCCCCACUUCUUACAGCGGCUAAGAGAUCUUAUGAAAUCCAUCUCUGAAGGACAACAUAUCCGCCUCAAGGCUUCAAAGCGCUUUGCAUAAUAACAAGUCACUGAGUAUUUCACUUUCCCCAGAGAUCCAUCAUCUCCAAAAGAAACUCUGGCA
rnacentral:misc_RNA from 1 species